rfam:Danio rerio chromosome 4, GRCz11 reference primary assembly.
GGCUCAUUGCUUUAGGGGUAUGAUUCUUGCUUUGGUUGCAAGAAGUCCUGGGUUCAAAUCCCAGACGAGCCC